AUUGAACGCUGGCGGCAGGCCUAACACAUGCAAGUCGAACGAGUGGCGGACGGGUGAGUAAUGUCUGGGAAAUUGCCUGAUGGAGGGGGAUAACUACUGGAAACGGUAGCUAAUACCGCAUACCAUACACUGUGCCCUGAGGGGAUUAGCUAGUAGGUGGGGUAAUGGCUCACCUAGGCGACGAUCCCUAGCUGGUCUGAGAGGAUGACCAGCCACACUGGAACUGAGACACGGUCCAGACGCCUACGGGAGGCAGCAGUGGGGAAUAUUGCACAAUGGGCACAAGCCUGAUGCAGCCAUGCCGCGUGUGUGAAGAAGGCCUUCGGGUUGUAAAGCACUUUCAGCGGGGAGGCGUUACCCGCAGAAGAAGCACCGGCUAACUCCGUGCCAGCCGCCGCGGUAAUUC
rnacentral:rRNA from 1 species